rnacentral:rRNA from 1 species
AGCGAACGCUGGCGGCAGGCUUAACACAUGCAAGUCGAGCGGGCACUUCGGUGUCAGCGGCAGACGGGUGAGUAACACGUGGGAACGUACCCUUUGGUUCGGAAUAACGCUGGGAAACUAGCGCUAAUACCGGAUACGCCCUUUUGGGGAAAGGCUUGCUGCCGAAGGAUCGGCCCGCGUCUGAUUAGCUAGUUGGUGGGGUAAUGGCCUACCAAGGCGACGAUCAGAAGCUGGUCUGAGAGGAUGAUCAGCCACACUGGGACUGAGACACGGCCCAGACUCCUACGGGAGGCAGCAGUGGGGAAUAUUGGACAAUGGGCGCAAGCCUGAUCCAGCCAUGCCGCGUGAGUGAUGAAGGCCCUAGGGUUGUAAAGCUCUUUUGUCCGGGACGAUAAUGACGGUACCGGAAGAAUAAGCCCCGGCUAACUUCGUG